GGAUGUGAGGGCAAUCUGGCUGCGACAUCUGUCACCCCAUUGAUCGCCAGGGUGAUUCGGCUGAUCUGGCUGGCUAGGCGGGUGUCCCCUUCCUCCCUCACUGCUCCAUGUGCGUCCCUCCCAAAGCUGUGUGCUCGGUCGAAGAGGACGACCUUCCCCACUAGAGGAGGACCGGUCUUCGAUCAAGGGUAUACAAGUAGCUGCACUCCCCUGCUAGAACCUCCAAACAAGCUCUCAAGAAUGAGACUAAGAGAGAGAGGAGAUGUACAGUUUGGCACAUGCUCAAUCGGACUUACUCCUAAUGGUAGAGCUAGAAAUGUUC
rnacentral:snRNA from 1 species